rnacentral:rRNA from 1 species
CCUACGGGCGACAGCAGUGGGGAAUAUUGCACAAUGGGGGAAACCCUGAUGCAGCGACGCCGCGUGAGUGCAGAAGUAAUUCGUUAUGUAAAGCUCUAUCAGCAGGGAAGAAAAUGACGGUACCUGAGUAAGAAGCCCCCGCUAACUACGUUCCAGCAGCCGUGGUAAUACGUAGGGUGCAAGCUGUAUCCGGAUUUAUUGGGUGUAAAGGGAGCGUAGACGGCAGUGCAAGUCUGGCGUGAAAGGCGGGGGCUCAACCCCCGGACUGCUCUGGAAACUGUGCGGCUGGAGUGCAGGAGAGGUAUGUGGAAUUCCGAGUGUAGCGGUGAAAUGCGUAGAUAUUAGGAGGAACACCAGUGGCGAAGGCGGCUUACUGGACUGUAACUGACGUUGAGGCUCGAAAGCGUGGGGAGCAAACAGGAUUAGAUACCCGAGUAGUC